GCAUGGGUCUGUGUCUGCACUUGCUGUUGAGCCAACAGCAGGUGUUCAGCAGAAGGUAGCACAAUCUGCCUGGCUCAUAAGUAUUUUUCUGGGAGGAAAAAUCUUGGAAGACAGACUGCGAAGUUAGCAUAGGUCCUGCUAAAUGCAAGUAGCAGCCCAAGAAGACUGGCCAACAUGUACCUAAAAACUUGUGUCCUGGUCACCUCAUCAGAAUGCUCAUAAAAACACAGAAUACCCAAGGAAUAUCUUCUUCCCAGAAGCUUUUCAAUUCAUGGAGAAGGAAAUGCUGACUCUUCAUAAAACACUAUGUAACCUGUUUAGUAGUAACACAACUGCCUUAGAGUUUCA